rnacentral:hammerhead_ribozyme from 1 species
AUCCAGCUGAGGAGUCCCAAAUAGGACGAAAUGUGCAUCCUGGAU